rnacentral:rRNA from 1 species
AGUGAACGCUGGCGGUAGGCCUAACACAUGCAAGUCGAACGGCAGCACAGUAAGAGCUUGCUCUUACGGGUGGCGAGUGGCGGACGGGUGAGGAAUACAUCGGAAUCUACUUUUUCGUGGGGGAUAACGUAGGGAAACUUACACUAAUACCGCAUACGACCUACGGGUGAAAGCAGGGGAUCUUCGGACCUUGCGCGAUUGAAUGAGCCGAUGUCGGAUUAGCUAGUUGGCGGGGUAAAGGCCCACCAAGGCGACGAUCCGUAGCUGGUCUGAGAGGAUGAUCAGCCACACUGGAACUGAGACACGGUCCAGACUCCUACGGGGGGCAGCAGUGGGGAAUAUUGGACAAUGGGCGCAAGCCUGAUCCAGCCAUACCGCGUGGGUGAAGAAGGCCUUCGGGUUGUAAAGCCCUUUUGUUGGGAAAGAAAAGCAGCAGGUUAAUACCCCGCUGUUCUGACGGUACCCAAAGAAUAAGCACCGGCUAACUUCGUG